AUGAAAAUGAGUUCCAAAAAUGGGUCAUAUAUACGAUUGAAAACUUUUAUGAUACGUACAGCCAAGAAAAAAAUACAGGGCGAUGGAGCAUCCGUUCUGGCUCAGUUUCGCUCAACAAACAUUAAUAUAACCAGUCGUUCCGCAACCAGAAGAUUUACCUGUGUGUGGAACGACUGGUUAUAUGAAUGUUUUCAUCUUCGGUCAGCACUUAGUAAACACUACUUUUAUUACAGUUUCUUUUGCUGCCUAUCAAAGUAUUAUUUAUUUCAGUCUGCUCUGCUUAUUCAGAUGUUGUUAGAUCGAUGUGAAAACUUUCUCAUUAGAAGAAUCCACCCAAAACCAAUCACAAUUGAAAACAAUUGA
rnacentral:rRNA from 1 species